CAGCUAGCCAGGGAAAGGAGAAAGACAGCAGAUCUGCAGAGAAGGCUGGAUGCACUGAAUGAAAAGUUGGCUCAAUGUUCCCAGACAUCUUAUUGGGCACUAGAUGCCACUGCUCAGGGAAGUGUUCAG